UACGUAGGCAGCAAGCGUUGUUCGGAGUUACUGGGCGUGAAGGGUGUGUAGGCGGUUGUUUAAGUUUGGUGUGAAAUCUCCCGGCUCAACUGGGAGGGUGCGCCGAAUACUGAAUGACUAGAGUGUGGGAGAGGUGAGUGGAAUUCCUGGUGUAGCGGUGAAAUGCGCAGAUAUCAGGAAGAACACCCGUGGCGAAGGCGGCUCUCUGGAACGCAACUGACGCUGAGACGCGAAAGCGUGGGGAGCAAACAGG
rnacentral:rRNA from 1 species